CAUCCAGACUCCUACGGGAGGCAGCAGUGGGGGAUAUUGCACAAUGGGGGAAACCCUGAUGCAGCGACGCCGCGUGGGUGAAGAAGCGCCUCGGCGCGUAAAGCCCUGUCAGCAGGGAAGAAAAUGACGGUACCUGAAGAAGAAGCCCCGGCUAACUACGUGCCAGCAGCCGCGGUAAUACGUAGGGGGCAAGCGUUAUCCGGAUUUACUGGGUGUAAAGGGAGCGUAGACGGCCAUGCAAGCCUGGAGUGAAAGCCCGGGGCCCAACCCCGGGACUGCUCUGGGAACUGUGCGGCUGGAGUGCGGGAGGGGCAGGCGGAAUUCCUGGUGUAGCGGUGAAAUGCGUAGAUAUCAGGAGGAGCACCGGCGGCGAAGGCGGCCUGCUGGACCGCGACUGACGUUGAGGCUCGAAAGCGUGGGGAGCAAACAGGAUUAGAUACCCCUGUAUGG
rnacentral:rRNA from 1 species